GAGUAUGCUAGGCCCUAAUGAGUCCUGCUAAUACCUCAUUUCCAUGGUUCAACUCCAUGGCUUACUCA
rnacentral:tRNA from 1 species